rnacentral:lncRNA from 1 species
UUGUAAAAGCUUUGCACUUUAUUUCUCUCCUCUGAAAGAAGGAAGCCCAUAUUUACAUGUUCCUGCGACUGACUAUUUUUGUGUAACUGUCGCUUUUUCGUAUGAUCCGACUUGCUGGAGGAUGUAUUAUUUACUAUGGCUGAACACUUGUUGGUGCCAUUCUGUGGCGCUGCCACCUUGCGAGCAGUGCGUCCUUCAUGAAUUGUGAAGGGUUUGAAUGUUGUGUACUGUCGUUUCGGUAGAUCAAGUACCUGUUGUCAUGAUUAAACAUGAGUUAAUUGGUGGUGUGAUGAUCUGGUGUUCUAUUGGGACUUGACCUCAACUAUUAAGUCUCUUACGUACAGUUUAAGAUAUCCGUUUGUACAGGGAUAGUGUUUUUUUACAUGGGUAAGACAGACUUAGCUUUACCGGUAUUACUGGUACUUCCUCAUUUGUUUGGCCAGAUCUUAGAGCUCUAGUUGAAAUCGGAGGCCUUUGAUAACUACUACUUCCUUUUCGUUGGGAAGCUUGAAGUGAAUAUCAAGUUUCAAUGUUCAUUUCUUGACCUCCCGUAUAUCUUCCUGCAAUAGGAGAUGCCCGAAGUUUUUUCUUUUCUUUUCCCCUUCAUGGCGAACCGGUCCACUAAAGUAAAUUACGUAGAGGUGCCAAAUCCUGACUUGUUUCUGCAACUGGAAACCGAGAAAUAUCCAUCGCAUUUAGAUUUGAACGUUCAAAACGCUGCAUUGCAGCUUGUGAGGAAUCAAGACACACUGAAUAUACACCAAAAAUUUGGCCUGGGAGAGCACUAUCGCGAUUCCUCCUCUUGGCCGAUUUUUCCAUGCCUGACCCUGCAGUUACAUGAGAGCAUGAUCUAUUCAGGAAACGAGCAUGGUCACCAGCCCAUGACCGUAAUUUCAUAACUGACAUGUUUACUUGCAAAACAGAAGCAAAAUAUAGUAUCAAAUGGUUUGAGUAGAAAUUCACGUACACGUUUUUAGAGAAAU